CAGCCCCCUCUACGCAUGCGCUUUGACCGGCCUCCAGUCGGAGUCCGAAUUUCCCAAGUCUCCCUCGCGGCGCAGGCGCCAGAGAACCCUGACGGGAACGUCUCUUGCCGCUUGCGGGCAGGUGCACAUGACCCAUCCCCCUUCUGGACACACUUGAUGACACAAGCCUUCCCCUGGGAGACACUUGAUCAGGAUAAGAAGUAAUGGGUUUAAUCUGCAGCAAGGGAGAUUUAGGUUAGACAUUAGGGGGAACUUUCUAAUUUUAAGGAUAGAGCUGAUCUAUGAAAAGCAGGGCCACUGGACUCCUUGACUGAUGGCUGCAUGGAUAAAUGCCAUGAUUUAAUGGCAUGAUUUAAUGCUGAUGCCACUCUGUGAGGCACUCUGAGUCAACUGUCUGCAGCUGGACUAGCUCCUAUGCUGAGCAGAAGAUGUAACUUCUAGCCACAAGGAUGGGUGACUCAGUAAGGUGAGAUGCAAUGUAAAGAUGGGAUUAACAAGAAAGGGUUUUUGCGUUCUAGUCCUGGGUGUGACAGACUCCUUUGACAGUUUUGCCAAAUCACUUAACCUUUCUGUUUUAAUUGCUACAUCCGUAAAAUGGGGAUAAUAAAACUUACCUCAGAGGAUGAUUAGGUAGUAUUUAUGUUUAGGUAGAGCAAUUGAUUAGGUAGUAUUUAUGCAUUUGCUGCGGGCUGCAUACAAAACCCUCUGAAGCAGAGGUCCCCAAAUUGUGGGGCGUGCCCCUUAGGAGGGAUUGAAGGAACGUUCAGGAGGCCCAGGACUUUUCUGGAGUCCUGAGUAUAAUGCAAAUGAGCCUGCUGUGGCUGACCUCUCCUAUUUUUAUGAAGGAGAUUCAUGAUAAUCCUGUUUCUCUCCCUGCUGUCAGCAGCCAGACUGAGCACUGCCUCUCCUGCAGAGAUUCACAAGCCUACACAUGCUCAGUGCGUUUCCAUGACCAGCACAGAGGACUAAGGAGCCAGGCAUGUAACAUUGAGCAAUUAAAGUAAACUGCUCAUAGUCAACACACUUUUAAGAGAUGGAUUACACAUUGUUGUGAUAAUGAUAGACAGGAACUGGCUAUUUCGUAGGUGGGUAACAGGAAAAUUGUGUUGCAGGCCUACCCCAAAAUGCUAAGGCUGCUUUUGAUAGUGACAUCAUAACUUUGAACAAUUUUCAGGAAAAUUCAGUUCUUGCUGGUAGUGAAAAUCAACCAUUUUUAAGAUAAUUAAAAAGAUAGUCUAUAAAUGAUUAAUAUAGAGUAUCCUGGUUUUGUGCUAAAGGAAUUUGGUUACCUUACAUAGUGUUCAAGUUUAGUUGCAUGCUGUUGAAGGUGGCAAAUUUACUCACUAAAUUUUAGGCUUUAGUACUCACUUCGCAACUCACCACACUUUGUAUCUCAGCUGGAAGAUUUUGUAAAAGACUGACCAACUCUCCAUUCUAUUGAAUUCUGUUCAAAUACAUGGAUUAAUAAUUUAAUCCCAACAAGUGCAAGCAGUAGUUUUAAAACUCAAAGCCACUUUUUCAGCAUUGUGUCAAUAACCUUUCAGCUCAACCAAGAAUUGACUUUUGACACUGACUGGAUGCACUAAAUACACUUUUAAAAAAUAUCUCUAAAGCUACCAUUAAAAAGGUAUAAACAUAGCAAUGCAUAAGUGUACCUCUGUUUAGGCAUCAAUUUCAGCUGUGCAUUCAUUACAUCUUAAAAAGGAGCAAAAUAUCUCUUAUAUUUUUAAUUACAACGAAAGUACCAACAGUAAAAAGGAUGGGGCAACAAUCAGUAAAAGAUCACAGAAGGACCAAUGACACACUGGCUACUUCUGAAUGGUAGCCAAAUGUCAGUAAGGCAGAGGUGUGCACCUUGUAAGCAUACUGAAACAAUUAGGGUUGUGAUGACAUGUCUUUGUUCAUAGCAAGUAUAUUUUUAUCCAGUACAGUAAUCUUAGAAAUAUUUUACCUAACGCCAUAAAAAAGUAGAAGUUAAAGAAGGGACUAUUCAUAGAACAGACCAAGAUGACAAAUCAAUUUCACAUAGAAUAUAUAUGCAUGGGUUUUGAUGAGUUAUAAAAAGAAUUAGUAACACAUUUCCAAAACUUACUAUCUCCACCUCACUGCAUUCAUUUCGGAAAGGCUAACUCAAGACUUCCUGCAGAUUUAUAAUGGUGGUGGUAGAGCAAGAGAUAUUUUUCUGAAUAUAGGAAACUCUUACUUGUGGAUGCAGAUUAGGCUGGUAUGUGUCUGCAAGCAAACCAAAUCAAGUAAUUUCUUAGAGAGCUAUUGUUCUGGGAAAGAAGAGAAAUAGACCACUUUUUUAAAAAAUAGAUUGACCCUGGAAUAAAGGUUUUUAAAAGGAGGAAAGUCAGCAAUGGGCCUGAGAACAAAUACCCUCACUUACCAGUUGGUCUCAUGACUUAAUAAGGAUAAUGCAACACCUCACAAGAGCCAUUGCCCUCAUAUGUAUCUGCAACAUAUGGUUCAAAGGCUGCCACAGCAUACAAGCCAUCUGGUAAGUUAGGAACACAACCAACCAAGUGAAGAGAUCCUUUUCUCUUAUGGAUGUGAGAAAGUGAGCAAGUGACGAGGGCCCAUGACACAAGAGGGAAUGGGCCAUCUGUCUGGCAUUGCUGUGUCUGACAGGUUGAGAGUCUGAAUGCAGUGCCCCUAAAGUUCAGGGGCUGGAUGGUAGGUGUAGAGUAAGCAAGGAUGCCUAAGUAAUAUGAGAUAUUGUCUCUCUCCUGCAGUUGCAGAUAAUGCUGCAUCCACAUAUUUCCAGGCUUAGACAGCAAGGACUGGGAAUUGGAACCCAAGUUUCUGUGUAUUAUGUGAAAGGCCAAUACUAGAUGCCUAGGCUGGCCCAAGUCAGCUGCCAUUAUUCAAUUCUCUCCUAUGCCCUUUCAUCACUAAGUAGCCAUGGCAGCAUAACAGCACAUAUUGUAUAUCCUUUCUUACAUCUUCCCGUAUAAAAAUUGCAGCAGCGAAGAGUCUUGAAAAGAUUUCCUUCAAUAUAGCUAUUGAGUAUCUAUGUUUUCUGUUUCAUCAUGUUACUUUUUCAUUUAUAAUAUUUUAUUAAUUUGGGGGCUUAUGCUGGAGCAUUCCUAGCAGCUGCAACUCCCUUUCAAUGGGAAGUGGGGGUGUUCACCCUUCACAAAGAAGUCUAUUAUAGUUGUAAUUAUUAUAGUGUCUCACAGUUACAUAAUGCCCUCAAUCCCAAAGUGAUUUGCAAACUCCUUAGGAAUCUUUUUAACAACUGCUUGUUGUGAAGCUAUCCCUGUUGUAGAAGACAGCAGCUGUUUAACAGCACACUGCAGUACUGCAGAACCAUUUAGGACAGGGAGCAAAGAAAAAUACACACCCCUCCCCCACCCCACAAGCACCUGCGGUACUCUCAAGAUUUAUUUGGGUAUUGUACAAGUCAUGGACAGGAAUUAUUUUGUUAUUUUAUUUACGGCCCGUGACCUGUCCAUUACUUUUACUAAAAAUACUGUGACUAAAAUGUAGCCUUAGUCACAACUAACGUUCAAAGCCUUGUUUUUACAUUUUAUUUGAUGCAAAAUACCUACUAAUUAAACAAUCCUUUUUCACACCAUGCUGGGAUAUUAGUUUACUAUUAUUUUUAAUAUUUCUAUUGCUUUAGUGUUCAGAGGCCUGCAUCAGGAUUGGAUUCUACUGUGUUUAGGUGCUGUAUGGCCACAGGUCUACGUCCUGAAGAGCUGAUCCAGAGAGAAAAGCACCAUCUAUUACGUAGGGAAUAAUAUUGCCUAUGCCACCUUGCAUUUUCUUGGUGAACUGCUCCUUCAAAUACUGACCAGGCUUGACCCUCUUUAACUCAUGAGAUAAGAACAACCAUCUUGGGUCAGACCAAAGGUCCAUCUUGCCCAGUAUUCUGUCUUCCAAUAGUGGCCAAUAUCAGGUGUCCUACAGGGAAUGAACAGAACAGGUAAUCAAGUGAUCCAUGCCCUGUCACCCAUUCACAUUCCCAGUAACAAUCCUGGUGGUGACACAAUGUACAGUACUAAUUUCAAGAACAACAUAUGCAAUUUCAUCUUCUCAUAACAACAUGUAAGCCAAAAUGCUUACAAUUAAACCAAGACAUUUCUUCUGUAUCAGGAGUUUGAAUUAGGUGACUGAGUUUUCCUGGCAUUGAGAGGAUUAUACCUAUUCCAUUUCUGUUAUAAGUAUAUAUAGUUACACAUACUUUUUUUGUGUCUUGUUAAUUUGCAAAGAUUACUUUUCCACUGGGUUUCCUGCAUCUUGGUAGUAUUCCCCCUUGAUUCUCUGGAUUCAGUUGCUCAAUUGUCUGUUUAUGAAGCAUCUGGUAACUUGAAUGCAGUUAGAGUUUUUUAGAUUUGCCAUUUAGCCUUUGGAUAGUCUUCACUAUAGUCCCCAGAGUCUUGUAUCCUGUUUUUAACUUCUCCUGUUCAUAUCACAUGCCAUCCAUUGUGUCUGGAUAGCUUUUCGAUGAGUAUUUCAAUUAUGUGUCAAUAUGAAGUAUUUGUUAUGGACUUCAAAAGACUCUGGUUUCCAUUUGUCAUUUGAGCUUUUUUACAUAGAGUGCUUAGAGCAUACUGAACUUUGGAAGCACUUUUGCAGAUCUUCAUGCCUUUGUUUGAUCCCUAAUUUCUAGGGGACUCUUAAGUAUCUUUAGCUAUUAGCAAUUGUUUUAACAAGAUGAUUUAAACCUAAACUAUUCUUCAUGAUAAUCUGAGCUGGUGAGGCACAGUAUGUUCACCAAUAUAAGUGAUUCUAGAUUCCACAGUACUGUGAUAUGAAUCAUUUCCUGCUGUCUCUAAACUUUUAACAGGCUGAUGCCUUCCUCAUGCAGAACAUUUCCUUAUCAACUUUUUGGGUUAUAUAACAUAGCUUUACUGAGAUUUGCCAAUAUAUAAAUACUCAUUCCUAUUGUAUUUGAACAAAUUUGUUUCCAGAAUUUUCCAUGGGCAAUCUAUUACCUUAUUUUUUAACUUAAUUUCAGCUUUGCGGUUGUUCAUUUAUUUGGAGGCUGUCAAAGAUGAAAAAGCACCACUCUGUUAUUAAUGAUCAUCAUGAGUUAUACUAGUUCCAGAUUUCGAGCUUGUUCCAGCUUCCAUUGAGGUCAAUGGGACAAAUCUCUGACUUCACUGUCAGCAAGACAAGGCUCUAAUCCAGUUUUUUAGUUGCAGUAUUGGUUCUGGGUUUACAAUACCUCAAUAUAGAAAAAAACCACAACUGUACAGUGUUUGUGUCUGAAAAGUAAUAUAUACUUGCUGUUGAAUGCUCCAUAUUAGAACAAAAACUCAGUUCUUAUUUUUUCCCAUGGUGAUCUGGAUUACUUAGUGGUUUUCUUGUAGAAUUACAGAUGCCUGUACUUGUUCAUGGGGUGGGCUUUUUUUUUUUUUUUUUUAAACAUCUGGGUCUACAAACCAGAAAUCAGCGAAUUUCAGCACCUAACAUUCCCAGUAUAGAGCUCCUUAUUUUCAGUCUCUAUCCACUUACACAGUACUUGAGAUUCCUCCUAUUGAAGCUAAUAGAAAAUCUCCCAGUGACUUCAACGGGAACAAAAAUUUUUUGCACAGUCCACUGUUCUGUCAUGAUUCAUGAAUAUGAGUAUGAAUCUGUAAUGCAGAGUCCAUGCAUAGUGAUAAGGAAUGUACUUAUUUGUUUGGAAGAAAAUUAGAAAAAAAAAUAGUUUAAUAAGAGAAAUUAAUUCAUCUAUGCAAGCAGGAAAGAGCUAAUUCCAGUUCAGAAAUGCCACCCACCAAAGCUAUGGAAACAGGAUAUAGAGUUGUAAGCAUUACAUUCUCAGAAUACACUCUAAUUGACUGACCUGGGUGCAUGAAACAGUUAACCAGCAGCUUCUGAGAAAUGAUGACCCCUCUUCUAGAUGUCACAUACAUCACAGGGCUCACUGUGAUAUCACUGGAGUUGGUAUAAUGAAGUUCACAUAUUCAUGAGAUGAUAUAAUCUUCCAGUUUAAUUUUAAAUUAAUUCUGGGGCACAUGGCACCUUAGCCUUAUUGUCUGGUUUUUCAGCAGUGAUGGGAGACUGAUGCAAUCCAAGUAAGAACAGGAUGGUUCUAAAGACUUAUUUGUUCAAGAGCGCUGUUCAAAAGACUCUUAAUUUGAUCACUUGCUAAGAAUUAUUCAGAAUUAUUUUUAAAACAGGUAUUAAUAAAUCUUGUGCACUGCUGAUUUUCCAUUCCUUUUAAUUCCAGGAGUAAAUCCUGUCCUUUUUGCAAUCAAUAGGGUCAGAAUUUCACCCCAUGUAGUUAAAUAUUGUUUUGGUUUAGCAAUAAUUCAGUAUACCAAAAACCUAAAUAAACAGAUUGUCCUAAUAAUUCAAAAUUUUCCUGUUGCAGCAAAAGAUGUCUAGGAAAAAUUUAGCAGCACAUGAAUUGUAUUCUUGUAAAGUUAAGUAAUGGAUGGAUAAUAUGCAAAAUAAUAAAAAUUCUCAUCUUCUGUUAGCGCAGUGAAGAUUUAUUGCCCCUACAACAUUUGGACUUAGUACUUUCUUCUCAAAGCAAAAGGUAUGCAAAGUUUCAACAGGUCCAACAUGCAAAAUAAGUGCUCUGUGGAACUCACCUUUGAUCAUGCAGGAAAGACUGUGUGAAUUACAGACAAUAUUACUCAGCUCCCAAGCUGAGAGGAAUCAGAUCUGUGUCUUAAUUGUAUAAUCCUUCUGCCUGAGUAUCCAUUGGAUGGAUGGACUUUCUCUAUCAUCUCAUUGCAUGCUUCCUUGAAAACCAAUAAAAUAACGCUGAUUUUUCACACUAAUUCUGCAAAGUCUUUAUUAAUACUUGUUUCUCAGUGUGUGGAUGGCUCAUUGGCAGUAUCACAAUGCAGCCAUCUCUGUGUUAUACAUUUCACAGUUUCUAAGCCAAGUGUUGGGUCAACUUGCCAUUAUGUAAACAAUGUUCUGCUUAAAAACAUUUUUUCUCCAUCCCAUACCUUUGUAUGUCUGCAAUCCUACUGUUUGGCACAUCACCUUUUGGCACAGCCAGGGUUAUAUAUGUGCUGGUUAAAUAAUAUGACAAUUUAGCAUCCGUGGACUCAGACUUCAGUCUGCUGAAAAAUAGAACAUAUGUCCAUAACUUGUUUCCUAUGUAUUGAAUUGAUCAAACCUUUAACUGCCCUUUGGGAGAAUUAAGUUAAUAGACUAGUAUGUGUGUGUAUACAUACACACACAUAUAUAUGCUGUUAAAUACACACACACACACACACAAUUUCUGUCUGAAAAAGCCUCUCCAUUUACUUCCUUCCCAACCUUGCUGUGAGCCCAUCUCCUGAAAAGUCUCCUUCCAGCUAAGAGAAGAUGGAGGUUUCUUCUCCUAUUGCUCAUAAACUUCAUGCUGAAUAUAAUAUGGAGGAGGAGGUAGCUGAAGUGGAAUGUGAGACCUGUCCGCUCCCAUAUACACAUCGGGGCUGGGUGCGUUGCCAUUGCAGUGCUUUCAGCCUCUGCCAUCCUGGGUAGUUCAGAAGUUCUGCUUUGCAGCACAAAUCACUGGAUCAGAUUCUGAGAUGAGAGUCUAAAGUGCUUUAACUUACACCUUCUUCCACCCACUCCACAUAUAAGUUACAUCAGCUUAGACUGCCUUAGACUCACACUCACAUACUAUAAUUUACACAUCACCUCUGAAUUUGGCAUCCUGGGCCUGAUUAUGAACUCACACUGGUAUAAAUCAGGAGCAACAUCAGUGAAGUUAAUGAUGCUAAAACAUUGUAAAAUUGGUGUGAGACAAAUCAGAAGUAGGUCCACUGAAUCUAAGGGAAGGGAAGCUUGUGUAAUUUAUACGAUGAGUUGUACAUAAGGGUGAUAGCUGGAAAAGUAACUGAAAGAAGGUGUAAGAGUUACUGAUUUUCCAUCUUAUUUUACUGUACUAUUAAUUAUAGCUAUUGUUCGUACUGCAGUAACACUUUGGGGCCCCUAUCAGAGAUCAGGGCCCCAACUCCCAUUUUGUGUUAGAUUUUUUCCCAUCUUGUUGCAUAAAUAGCAACUAUUGCAUACUAUCUUUGGUUUUUCUUUAUGACUUAUGGAAGAAUAACAAAGGCAAAUGCAAAAAGAACAUUGCUGUUAAAAAUCUAAACUGUGAUCCUCUUCUGGAAUGAUAUGGCAAUGUAAAUGUAUGUGGUUAUAAUUACACUAACCUGCAAAGGUAAAACAUGGUUUAUGCCUUUUUUUGCUGCUCUAUGAUGUAUAUAAAGUCCUGACAGGUCUAAAAAUAGCAUUGGGAUGAAGAUGUUUCUAUAUAUUUCUUACCUUAGAAAUAUCAGGAAUGUUCAUUCUAACUUUCCAUGUUUUUUAUUUUCUGUAUUUGAGGACACAGAUUUGAAUUGGGAGAUUUCUCAGCCCUUAAUUAGGUCCUAAUCCUGUCCCAAAGAAGUCAAUGGGAAUUUUAGCAUUGGCGUCAAUAGGAGUAGGAUCAAGCACUUCAUGACUGGAGAGUCCAAUCUUUACAAACAAAGCCUUUCUUCCACUAUUUAUAGCAAUAUUUAUAUAUUGUUUAAACUCCCUUUUUGUCUUUGUUUCUGCACUAGUUUGGUACGUGUGAUGUUAUAAAACUACUAGUUCUCCAGUUGUCCAGAGACUCUUCCAGGAAAAACAGGACAGAGAUGCAGAAAACAGUCAAAAAAAACCCCAAACCACCCAACCCUUCCAAGUCUUCAUUACACAUCAUAAAGGGGGUGGGGAGUAAGGGUAGAAGGGUAAAGACACAAUCCCCUUUUAUUUGCUUGAUUUGUUUUUUCAGGUCACCUUUAAAGCAGCUAAAGUGGUGGUUUGUUGGUCUAGUGGCUACACGUUGCACUGUCAUAUACGGAUCUAGGUUUUGUUCCUGAACCCCUAAGCUUGCAUGUGCUAACCCUGACUGGAGGCUGUGCCUUGCUCAUCUCUAAUGUGUCUUUCUUGCAACACCUGGAGUGAUUCUGAUAAGGUCCAGAGGGAGUCUCCCCCAGCCCUCUUUGACAGAAGGGAUGGUUGACAUGAUUCAAGGCCAUCAGUGGUUGGAAGAUGUAUAUUAUGAAAACAGUGGGAACACGGGGUCUCAAAUAAAUAAAAGGUCUCUGGGAAAUAUAGAGUAGGUAGAGAUGGCUGAGAUUUUUGACAGAAAAAUGUUCCCAUCAAAAACAGAAUUUUAAUGAAAGUAAGAUUUGUCACCAGAAAACGUGCUUUAAUUAUAUUUUUCCUAUGGGAAAUUUGUAAAUGAAAAUUUUCAUUUAGUUUUAAAAAGUGAAAAAUUUAUUUCAGUUUUUGAAAGUCACCUUUUAAAAAUAUUUCUCUUUACAAUUUUUGCUUUUUUGUCACUUAAAGCAACAGAGUGAAUGAUGCAGGGAAAGGAUUCCCUUUUUGCCCCCCCUGUUUGGAGGGGUUUUUCCCCCCUCACCGAUUGACUUUUUCUAUGCUGUUGCUUUUCAAAAAUUUCCCAAUAUUUACAAAGUUAGAGGGGAAGAGUUAAGUUGGAGAAGUUUUGAAAAGUUCAAGUAGAAAAGGAAUAAAUGGCUGGAGGGAGCAAUACCCUGGACAGUAUUCAUUUUAUUUCAUGCAGUGGAAAUAUAAAAAAGAAAAAAGACAUUAAAAAAAGAGAGAGCGCAAAACCAGGUAGAAAGGAGAAAAAAUAAUUUUAAAAAAUUGAAAAUUCAAAAAAAAUAAAUAAAUUGCACCAUUUCAGACUCCUCAAAUGGAAAUGACAUCCCAAUUGUUCAUGAAAUUGUUUUCUAGUGUUUCAAUCAGCUCUAAUAAGGGGCUUGAUUUAUGACUGUGUUCCAGUCUUAUGUCAGUUGAAUUCCAUGGACAUCACUGGACUUUCACUGAUAUAAAACUGAAGUAAUCCAGUUUUGAUUCUGACCCAGCAACUUGGAGUUUAAAUGUUAUGGAGUAUAUUUUCAGUUAGCCAAAGAUCUAGUCACUGCCGUUGGAGUAAUUUGCACUUGCAGUUAUCCACAAACAAGAUGAACCAUGGGAGUACAUAUAAGUAGCUAUACUUGUAACUGAAUUGUAGGUACAAAAAUGUGGGUGUAACAUGUGCCUUUAGACGGGAGGCCACUGUCUUGAAAAUUUCACAGCUUCUAAUGAUCCCUAGGGAGGAAUAUUUGCAUUUGUAAACAAAUGAUCUUCCAAACACUGGCCACCUAUGAACCUUUCAUAUGGAAGUUGUACAGAGAAAUUCCUCUUUCCUGGUGGCUUUCAUACAAAAAUGUCAGAGCUUGUUCCUCUUCCAUAGCUUUAAAAAAAAAAAAAUAUGUUAAGAAUGGGCUCACUGAACCCUUUGGGAAAUACCAUUUUUAGCGCAGAAUUUAGUUUCGUAUGGCACCUCCCAUAUGGGAGAUAUCCCAAAGUACUUUAGAGAGCAUUAAAUUACAGAGAUACCAGACAUGCAUUGACGAGACAAACGAAAGCCAUUAUGCACUCAGCAAGACUUCAUGCAGAAUGUUGGAUAUUAGAAACUUGUUUUAUUGAAGGGAGGAGGGGGAGAAAUGUUGUCAUCAACCAUGACAUCUGGUUUAGGCAGUUCCCUCCCCCCCCUUUUUUUUUUUUAAAAGGACCGUGAAAUAUUUUACUUCUACUAGCCACCAAAAGUAGGCAGAUGGGACUUUAGUGUAACCUUUCAUCUACAGGAGGACACUUCUAAUAAUACAAAAAAAAAAAAUAAAUGUUUUGUAUAUCUAUAGCACCUUUCCAAAAUUUGCAUUUACACACACGUGCUCAAUAGCCAGCAUUUGCACAAACAAAGAGGUUUGGGUGCAUCUUUAGAGGUUGCCUUUAAGAUAUACAUUAUAAUGUGAAUCGUUAAAAAUUAAAAUGGAUAAAGAAAGCUACAAGUAUUACUAGAAAAAAUCUCGACUGGUAUUUGAAAAAACAAUGGCUUUGCUUCUAAGUAAGAAACAAAUGGGUGGAUAUGCUGUGUCAAUUAUAACCUCAAAGUUUGCAGUGAAACAGAACUUAGGGCUCAGUCCUGUAACUCAUAUUCAGGUGCACUGCCCCAUCCAUUUUAGUGUGCUGUCUCUUAUAGGCUAUGAGUCCUUAAUGGAUAAUGGACAUAGAAUAAGCAUCUAACCCAAAGAUAUCUAACUCAGCUGAUCAGACACAUUUACUGAUUACCAUCCUUUCAAUUUCACUCUGUGCCCUAUUUCAAUAAAAUACGAUGCACUGGAUAUGAAACAUAGGACUUUGUGAACAGAGAAAGCAGAAGGACCUGCAUUAGAUUGGUCUUGUGUCUUCCUGUGUUCCUGAAUGUUACUGUGAGAAAAUAUUAAAUGAAAGGCACAAUGGGAGGUAUCAAAACUUUGAAAUGAACUACAGCAUGGAAGCGAAUAUCUCGUCACUAAUAGAACAUUCACACAAAGAGCUGGGGAAAAACAACUGAAAGCACACACAAUAACAUGUAGAAUAAGAGGAUGUAGAUGGAAGAAAGUGAUGCCAAAUCUGUACAAUUACGUUUUUGUCUGUCCUUGAUUUUUAGAAUUUUCUUAUUCAGCAGAGUCCAGUUCAUAUUUACUUUGUUUUCAAGUCUGGAAUACUGUGCAUUUCACUCUAAUUGUCUUCUCUAUUCUAAAUGUUUAUACAGUGUGAUUUACUACAAUGUGGCUGCGUAAUUAUGUUGAUGAUUAGAUAAAACAUUUUUGACAUGAAA